rnacentral:rRNA from 1 species
UACGAAGGGGGCGAGCGUUAUUCGGAAUCACUGGGCGUAAAGCGUGCGUAGGCUGUUUGACAAGUUGGAAGUGAAAGCCCAGGGCUCAGCCCUGGAAUUGCUUUCAAAACUGUCAGGCUCGAAUCUCGGAGAGGAUAGCGGAAUUUCCAGUGUAGUAGUGAAAUACGUAGAUAUUGGAAGGAACACCAGUGGCGCAAGCGGCUAUCUGGACGAGUAUUGACGCUGAGGCACGAAAGCGUGGGGAUCAAACAGG